rnacentral:lncRNA from 15 species
UCAAUAUCAAUGCCAUAUGAUAGAACAAGGUCAAGAGUGUGAUUUAAACAAUGAGUUGGUUUAUUUACACUCUGACAGAAGCCAAUUGAGUCUAUUAAUGAUAUAAAUGCGUUACUAAGGCUGUCAUUGUUAACAUCCACAUGAAUAUUAAAAUCACCUACAAUAAUUACUUUAUCUGAUUUAAGGACUAAACUUGAUAAAAACUCUGAGAAUUCAGAUAUAAAAUCAGAGUACGGUCCAGGAGCGCGGUACACUAUAACAAAUAGAACUGGCUGCAGUUUUCCAGUUUGGGUGAGAAAGACUAAGAACAAGGCUUUCAAAUGAAUUAUAAUUUAGUUUAGGUUUAGGGUCCAUUAAAACGCUCGAAUCAUAUAUGGCUGCUACUCCACCUCCUCAGCCAGUGCCGCGAGGAAUGUGAGUAUUAAUAUGACUGGGGGGGUGGAUUCAUUUAGGCUAACAUACUCCUUGUGGUCAUAAUCAUAAUCUGAUAUUAAUUCAUUCACUAAAACAGCUUUAGAGGACAGAGACCUGAUAUUUAACAGCCCAUAUUUCAUUCUCUUAUUUUGUGCUACUGAGGAGUUGGUUUUAAUUUUUAUUAGAUUUUUAUGUUGAUCUCCUCUUGUUUUUUAUUUCUUUAAAUAAUUUAGGUGGUCGGGAGACAGACACAGUCUCUAUGGGGUUUUGGGUAGGUGACUGUUCUAAUCGAUGCGUAGAGAAGUGUGCAAGACAGCAGCUCUGCUUCCUGGUCCCAACUCUGGGUUGUCAGGUUUUAGAAAUAAACUUUGCCAUAUUCCUAGAUAAGAGAGCCGCUCCAUCCAACGUGUGAUGGUGAUGAUUGUGCAGAACCAGAAGCCCGGAUACCAUCCCAGCAAAGAAACGGCGGAGUGGAUGCAGGUCAGAAAACAAGCCCACCAAAGUCACCGCUGCUCAAAAGAAAGAGGGACAGUGCUGAUCCAUGCACAACCUCAGAGAGCAGCUCCCCAGGAGGGAAGAGGAGGAGAAGCCGUGAUGAAGAGUGGAAACACAGCGUCACAAGUAAGGUCAUCUAUGGCAACACACAUGCUAGU